rnacentral:rRNA from 1 species
GACGAACGCUGGCGGCGUGCUUAACACAUGCAAGUCGAACGGUAAGGCCCUUCGGGGUACACGAGUGGCGAACGGGUGAGUAACACGUGGGUGAUCUGCCCUGCACCUCGGGAUAAGCCUGGGAAACUGGGUCUAAUACCGGAUAGGACCACUGCCUGCAUGGGUGGUGGUGGAAAGCUUUUGCGGUGUGGGAUGGGCCCGCGGCCUAUCAGCUUGUUGGUGGGGUGAUGGCCUACCAAGGCGACGACGGGUAGCCGGCCUGAGAGGGUAACCGGCCACACUGGGACUGAGAUACGGCCCAGACUCCUACGGGAGGCAGCAGUGGGGAAUAUUGCACAAUGGGCGCAAGCCUGAUGCAGCGACGCCGCGUGAGGGAUGACGGCCUUCGGGUUGUAAACCUCUUUCAGCACCGACGAAGCGCAAGUGACGGUAGGUGCAGAAGAAGGACCGGCCAACUACGUGCCAGCCGCCGCAGUAG